rnacentral:misc_RNA from 1 species
GAAAUGCGAUAAGUAAUGUGAAUUGCAGAAUUCAGUGAAUCAUCGAAUCUUUGAACGCACAUUGCGCCCGUUAGCAUUCUAGCGGGCAUGCCUGUCCGAGCGUCAUUUCAACCCUCAGGGCCCCCCGUUCCGGCGGGCGGACCUGGCGUUGGGGAUCGGCCCGCCCCGUGCGGCGCCGUCCCCCAAAUACAGUGGCGGUCCCGCCGCAGCCUCCCCUGCGUAGUAGUUUACAACCUCGCAUCGGAGCGCGGCGCGGCCACGCCGUAAAACCCCCGACUUUCUGAACGUUGACCUCGGAUCAGGUAGGAAUACCCGCUGAACUUAAGC